GCAGUGGUGGUUCAUUGGUAGAAAUCUCAUCUUCCUUGUGGGAGACCUGGGUUCAAUUCCCAGCCAAAUGUA
rnacentral:tRNA from 1 species